GGGAGUUGAUAGGCUUUCAAAGCCAGAGAAGGAAAGCCAAAGAGCUGGAAAUAAUGGCCUAUGGGACUAUCACCAGACACAAUCUCUGCUAAACAAAUCCAGAGCCCCAUUCAACAUCCUUUCCUUUCCCCUGCGGACUGCUGUUUUGCCUACAGUGACUUUCCAAUGCAAUAGGGGAAGACAAACAGUAAUUCCAAGCAUCAGUGAAUGACCUGUGGAAAACUUCCCAUGCAGAGUUGAAACUCAGUGUCAGGGACAACCUGAUGUAGAUGACUUCUAACGCCUCCUACAACCAUGGCAUAGGGAGUACAUGGGGACUCCGCCCCAUGCAGCUCCUGGUUGUCCCCUCUCAGAGGAUGCAAUCUCUUUAGAGGAGAGCUCCCAGCACCAGCAGAUGGGCAUGUUUGUGGGAGUCCAGUAGUAGACAAAUCUUCAUCUGCCUUCCCCUGGACACAGAUAUCACCUUCCAGAUGCUGGCCACCCAAGGGACCCCCCCGGGUCUGAGACUUUGAAGGCACCUGUGAUUUCCACUCCAGCAUACAUUGCUGUUGCUUGAGGAAGCACAUGUCACAUUUGUUUCAGACAACCGCAUCGGGGUCCCACAGCUCUGAUUAAAUAUAAGCGAAGGUUGUGACAGCUACAGAGGCAAGAGUGGUGGCAACCCAAGGAAUGGAAGAGCCAAUGAGGAUGACUGGAAAUGGAUGCUGUGGCAUGUACGUUAUCCUGAAGAAGUUCGAAAUGCAACAGGUUUUUGAGGGCCCUGAACUGAAUCCUCUCCAGUGUGGCUGUCUCCCUCAGUAAAGUCCAUUUAGAUUGGCUCCAUUCCAUAAAUGAACUGAGGAAAAUACUUCUUUGUUUCCACUGGGCUUUCGGCAUGAUGGGCACACAAACUGCCUAACUCCGUUUCUGUGACAAGGAGUAGGAACUCAUCAUCCAUCUUGGAGUGUUUUGUGUUAUUGAUAUUAGGGGUUCAGAUUGUACUGGAAGAGGCUAGCUUGUCUGUGGUAAUUAAUAUGCUCAUACAAUGCUUGCCAUCCUCCACAGAAUAAAGAGUGCUUUGUUCAAGAGAGCUCCCCCCACCCUCUCUCUACCCCGCCUGUCACACAGGCCCAAAGAAGCUUCUUUAUGUCUUAUUGUCAUUUACCUCUUUGCUCUGAGCCCGAGAUUUGUGUAGACUUCCCUCCAAUCCGGCCAUGCAGCAAAUGCUACAGGCAUUCCCCUGUACAGUGAUUUUAGUAGAACCACGAUGGCAAAUUUACACUGGCUUUUUUUUUUUUUAAUUUCCCUGGUCUCCAAUUCCUGUUUUAAUGAAAUAAUCCUCAAUGCAUUGGAAGCCGAAAGCAUAGAAGAAAAAUGCUUUUUUUUUUUUUUUUGGAGUGUGAAGAUAGUCGAUAAUUAGAAGGAGCUUUGAGCGUGUGGAUGAGAAAGUAUUGUUCUCUGGAACAAAGCACUCUUUAUUUUAAAGGGAGGCGUGCUGAAAGUUUACUGAGGGACUCUAAGAGCAAUCAGUGUCUAUUUACACUUGAGACCUGCAUCAAGCCUGCAGAGCUUGUGAGCUGAACCAUAGACCAGAGAUCACUUAUGUAAAUUUCCCUCCCAGCUGUUCACAGAGACUAUCAAUGACUAAUAAAAGAACCAUUUCCCCUCACCCUCCCCUCUAAAAAAUUCUGGGCCUCUUUUCAGGAGGAUUUUUAACCCCUCCUCAAGGUAGUGCCUUGUCUGCUAAGGAAGACAGAAAGCAGACUCUUAAAGGCCCACUUGCAUGUUUACAGAGUCGCUUCAGAUAUCCCUGAAAGAUCGUUAUUGCCAUAUUUCACUGUGUUUCAUAUCUCAGUGACCUAGAAACUUAGAUAUUCACCUGUGACCCGGGCCUGAUCAUAGGCAUGGACAGCAUUCCU